rnacentral:ncRNA from 1 species
GCGCAAGGCGUGUUUCAUGACGAUGUUGGGGAAGCUGACACCCUUAAGGCGGGCUGUGCGGACGUAUUGUGCGGUCAUCACUUCGGUCAUUGAUGCGCGGGUCAUGCGGGCGAUGUAUCCCAUGCCAUAAAUCGCAAUCGUCAUAACUGGCAGGAAAAAGUUCCCGAAUGUUAUGUCG